UUCUAUUCGACCUCUAGCCUGGGACCUUUGGUAUGCUGCCAGUGGGGUCCUAAAAGAAAAAAAUAAAAAUUGGAAAGAUACAGAGAAGAUUAGCAUGGCCCCUGCUUAAGGAUGAUAUGCAAAUUCGUGAAGUACUCCGUAUUUUU
rnacentral:snRNA from 1 species